rnacentral:rRNA from 1 species
GUAGGGAAUAUUGUGCAAUGGGGGAAACCCUGACGCAGCGACGCCGCGUGAGUGAUGAAGGCCUUCGGGUCGUAAAGCUCUGUUGCAGGGGAAUAAAAAAAUGAAGGUACCCUGUGAGGAAGGAUCGGCUAACUUCGUGCCAGCAGCCGCGGUAAGACGAGGGAUCCUAGCGUUGCUCGGAAUCAUUGGGCGUAAAGAGGGCGUAGGUGGCUUGGUAAGUCAGGUGUGAAAGCCCAGGGCUCAACCCUGGAAGUGCAUUUGAUACUGCUGAGCUUGAGUGUCGGAGAGGUUACCGGAAUACCUGGUGUAGUGGUGAAAUACGUAGAUAUCAGGUGGAACACCGGAGGCGAAGGCGGGUAACUGGACGAACACUGACACUGAGGCCCGAAAGCGUGGGGAUCAAACAGGAUUAGAUACCCUGGUAGUCC